rnacentral:tRNA from 1 species
GAGGGUACAGCUCAGUGGUAGAGCACAUGCUUAGCAUGCACGAGGUCCUGGGUUCAAUCCCCAGUACCUGCA